rnacentral:tRNA from 1 species
CAGAUCAACCGCCAUAAAAGUUGGCCAGGGGGCCGCCGUGACGUCCACCGCCCUCCAUCAG